rnacentral:rRNA from 1 species
AUUGAACGCUGGCGGCAGGCCUAACACAUGCAAGUCGAACGAGGGGCGGAGGGGAGAGGAAUGUGUGGGAAACCGCCGGAUGGAGGGGGAUAAAUAGUGGAAAGGGGAGAUAAUACCGCAAACUAGCGGAUGCGCACAGAUGGGAUGAGCUAGGAGGUGGGGUAAAGGCUCACCUAGGCGACGAUCCCUAGCUUGUCUGAGAGGAUGACCAGCCACACUGGAACUGAGACACGGUCCAGACUCCUACGGGAGGCAGCAGUGGGGAAUAUUGCACAAUGGGCGCAAGCCUGAUGCAUCCAUGCCGCGUGUAUGAAGAAGGCCUUCGGGUUGUAAAGUACUUUCAGCGGGGAGGCGUUACCCGCAGAAGAAGCACCGGCUAACUCCGUGCCAGCAGCCGCGGUAAUGC